UACGUAGGGUGCGAGCGUUAAUCGGAAUUACUGGGCGUAAAGCGUGCGCAGGCGGUUUUGUAAGUCAGAUGUGAAAUCCCCGGGCUUAACCUGGGAACUGCGUUUGAAACUACAAGGCUAGAGUGUAGCAGAGGGGGGUGGAAUUCCACGUGUAGCAGUGAAAUGCGUAGAGAUGUGGAGGAACACCGAUGGCGAAGGCAGCCCCCUGGGCUAACACUGACGCUCAUGCACGAAAGCGUGGGGAGCAAACAGG
rnacentral:rRNA from 1 species